GACGUAGGGCGCGAGCGUUGUCCGGAUUUAUUGGGCGUAAAGAGCUCGUAGGCGGCCAACUAAGUCAGACGUGAAAUCCCUCGGCUUAACCGGGGAACUGCAUCUGAUACUGGAUGGCUUGAGUUCGGGAGAGGGAUGCGGAAUUCCAGGUGUAGCGGUGAAAUGCGUAGAUAUCUGGAGGAACACCGGUGGCGAAGGCGGCAUCCUGGACCGGCAUUGACGCUGAGGCGCGAAAGCCAGGGGAGCAAACGGG
rnacentral:rRNA from 1 species